CAGAGGGAUUGAGGGCCCUGCUCAGUGAGUUUACAUGCUAGAGGGAGUAGGGUAUAGUGACACAGUAACAGAGGGAUUGAGGGCCUGCUCAGUGAGUUUACAUGUUAGAGGGAGUGGGGUAUAGUGACAGUAACAGAGGGAUUGAGGGCCCUGCUCAGUGAGCUUACAUGUUAGAGGGAGUGGGGUAUAGUGACACAGUAACAGAGGGAUUGAGGGCCUGCUCAGUGAGUUUACAUGUUAGAGGGAGUGGGGUAUAGUGACAGUAACAGAGGG